rfam:TPA: Bos taurus chromosome 15, whole genome shotgun sequence.
UCCCUGGUGGCUCAGUCAGUAAAGAAUCUGCCUGCAAUGCAGGAGACCAAGGUUCAAUCCCUGGAUUGGGAA